rfam:Picea glauca, whole genome shotgun sequence.
UACAACAUAGUGUUAAUGCAUUGGAUCCCAUUAGAACUUUGCAGUUAAGCAUGCUCAUGCUAGAGUAGUGUUUGGAUGGGAGACCGCCCAGGAAGUUCUUAAUAUUUUAC